UUCUUAACCAGACGAACUUAAUUACAACACUUUAAGUAGCUAGCUCGCACACGCUGCCAGGCCACAACGUGCCCGGCUCUUUGUGCACACGACCUGCUCCACUAACCAACUAAUCCAUCACCUAUUCUUAUGCCACUAACACAUGCAUGCAUAACAACUUCCUAGAUAACUUGUGCAGCCCGUUAGCUUCAGAUCUUUGCAUGCAUGCAACAGCUUCUCGCACGUUGGAGUCUCACCAUGCAUGCUCUUCAAAGUUCAAACUGAACCCUUCAGUUGUACGCCUCGCAGGUACCUAGACACACUACUACAUGCAAAUACGAAAGUAAACAUGCAGAGACACAAGACAUCAAGAUUAUAUCUAACAACGAAAAGAAGCACAGCCACAGUCCGCAUCGGGAGUGGCAUCGGUGUAACAGAUAGAGUGGGCUGGUGACGCAUAUCCCUAUCCGAUGAGGCUAUGUGCGCACGCCGGUCGGGAGAUGCGCGCCGAGCAUGCCGUAGGCGAAGGGCCGCAGCUGGCUCGGGGAUGGCGAAGGGCCGCAGCUGGCUUGCACCCACCGGUCAUCGAGGCGACCACCAUAUCGGGUCUUACUGUCCGGCAGAUGGUGGCCAUCGUAGACCGGCGCGGUGCCAAGAGCGAGGCCAAAGCCAAACCGCGAAAGAGAUACGGCGUGCGGCAACAUGUAGCGCUGCGGGAGCUUGGGUAGGGGGCGGCGGCUCGGGAACACGGUCGCCUUGGAGAGAGAGAGAAGGAGAGCAGCGGCGCACUCUCUAUCGGCGAGCAAGCUGUACAUGCACGCACGCAGGCGGCGGCGAGAGAGAGGAGGGAAGGGGACAUGAGAGGAGACGGCGCCCGCUUCUGUAAGGGAAAGGAGCUCCGUUACGUCGAUACCGAGCGCCAGCGGCCUGCUGCCUCGACAUCGUUCGUCGCAUCGUCAGACCGUCCCACGCACGCACAGUGGGCGCAAACAGCGCGCGCACACACACACGACGCGCCGCCAUCACGCCGCGAGCUUCACUUGUCCGCGCACCGCCGCAACCACAUGUGAGCUCUGCCCGACGCCCACCGCCCACGGUCAACCUGCAACUGCAAGCCACCGGCACCGCCGCGCGCGACGCGCUGCAUGAGCCACUCCAGAGCCUCAUGCUUGGCUCCCAGUGUCGCGCAUGUCCUGCGCUGGCCGUCGCCAUGGCGGCGGAGCACGAGUCCUAGUGCGAGCCGCACCGCGCGCCCUCGGCACCUCGCCGACGGCACCGGCGUCCCGCCUCAGUGGCCCGGAGGGCUAGGCACCGCCUUCGGGUCCAGCUGGCCCUGCCUCCUGCCCAAGACGCACACAAGAGGAAGAACGGAGAGGGCCUCACCGGCGAAAUCCACCUCGCCAGGACUUCCGCUCCGAAGGCCUCGUUGGUGACCAACAUCAGCAUUGAGACUCACCUCGCCUGCAACAGGAUGUUGUGCCUCGAGCGGCCGCCCGCUCCUCCAUGUUAGCUCCCCGUAGGGCGUCUCUUCUGUAGCACCUCGGGGUAAGAGUUAAGACGCGAGGGAAGGGGAGACGGGGAUGGCAACCAGUGGGCACCGACGCGCCGAUCUUGCGCGCCUCCUCGCCGGGUGCUCUGCCUUGUGCUAGCCCGGCGCCAUCGCGUGCAGCUCGAGGUCCAUCUCUCCAUGCAUCUGCAUGGGAUCCACCAGAUGAGACGCUCCAGUCUGAUGUGUUAAAGCUGAGCACCAUGUAUCAGAUCACGUACCUCGCAAAGCUUGGCUGACAGAUGGCUGCAUGAGGACGGCGCUAGGAGGCGAACCGGAGCUCGGCGGUCAGGCCGAAAGGGCAGGGAGGAGGUGAGGCAAGACCGCCGGUGGUGGAGAACCUUAUAUAGUCACCUACCGCGGUGAAGCGGUGGAACUGAAUUGAAAGGAUCCUUCUCGAGAGAGCAAGAGAAUAAGCGGCCAUGCAUCCAAAGAUUACCAG
rnacentral:lncRNA from 1 species